AAUGCGAAGGAGAACCUCAAACAAAAAUAAACAAACUGAAGACCAAAAAAAUAAAGAAGACUCGUUUACUUUGGAUAAUUUGCAUACCAUAUCUUGCAGCCAACGAGGAACGUAUGCAUAUAACUAGGUACAAUUUAACCGGCUAAUUAAACAGGUACCGAACGUAUUUUAAUUACGACAUGGCAAGGAUCUUCAAUAUUAUUAAUCGAGGUGCCGGCGUGCGACUUUCCAACCACACAGGGCUCAUCUUCUUCAUCAUCAUCAUCGUAUCUCUACCAAUUGAAUUACCCUCAGUACACGGCAGGAAGUGCGUGUGCACAAGCAAGUCAUGCCUGGAGGCAGGCACGGACACCCGCAGGACGCGUUUCUCCUGUUACACAGAACUCAUCCUGAUCGACGAGGGACAAGGAAACACUACAACCCGGGGCUGCGCCGAGUAAGAAAUUUUUUCCGCCCGCUCUUUUGCUUUCUUUUUUUUUAUGUAUAUAUGAUUUAUUUAUUUAUUUUUUGCGAUAUUUCGCGCCCGUUAAGCCAGCAAUGCAACGUAUGUACCGGUGUAAGUCCAAUUUACUUGUAAUAUGUAUAAAGUAGGAAAUUAUGAGGAUCUUGAGGAAAAUGGGUAAUAUGAACGACAGUAAUAACAACGAUAAAUGAAAAUAAGAUAAGGACACGGUUCUGCCUGUGGAUUUGGUUGACAAUGCAUAG
rnacentral:misc_RNA from 1 species